rnacentral:lncRNA from 1 species
UUAAUUUUUUCUUGAAGUGAUGAGCAAAUAAUUCUCGUUUGUCCCCUUCUUCAUUAUCUGCAUUAUUUAAUAGUUGCUCCAUCACUGAUAAUUGCAGAAGGGGCAAAUAAUUCUUUUAAGUGAUGGAAGCAGAUAACCUAACUAGCUAGAUACGAUUUGGCACUGUCGGCUACCAUUUUGAUCAAUAACUCGCUCAAUCCCAACUACUUGCUUUUGAUUACAUUACACCAGAUCAGUGAGAGUUAUCAUUUUCUGGAUUGAAGAGUAUGGAAGCUGCGCCUCUUAUGAAAGAGGGUUGGCCUUUGACGCCAUUUGAUGGUAUUCUUGUCGAUGAGAUAACGAAUGAUAAUCUUCAACUUCUUGUGGUUGCUCAGUAUGGGAGAAAUCCUGAUCAGAUGGGUCAAUGUUAUAUAAAUUUGUGUUAUGUUUAAAUAAAUAAAAAUGACAUACUAUUGUCUUCCAUUGUGAGUGUUGAUUUGAUUCAACUAAUAAUAAGAUCUUUUGAUAGAUAUAAGAGAUCUAUUGGUUUGUAU